rnacentral:rRNA from 1 species
UACGUAGGUGGCAAGCGUUAUCCGGAUUUAUUGGGCGUAAAGGGAACGCAGGCGGUCUUUUAAGUCUGAUGUGAAAGCCUUCGGCUUAACCGGAGUAGUGCAUUGGAAACUGGGAGACUUGAGUGCAGAAGAGGAGAGUGGAACUCCAUGUGUAGCGGUGAAAUGCGUAGAUAUAUGGAAGAACACCAGUGGCGAAAGCGGCUCUCUGGUCUGUAACUGACGCUGAGGUUCGAAAGCGUGGGAAGCAAACAGG